GUCCGAGUGUUGGUUCCGGUAGCGAUCGAGGGAAGUUAGUACCGAAGUCCGGGAUGGAAGAUGGCGAGAAAAGCUGUGUGUAUUUCUGCGGUGCCCGUACCGCAAACCGACACAGGUAGGUAGGAAGAAGAUUCUAAGGCCAACGGGAGAAGGGUUGUUAAGGAACUCGGCAAAUUGACCCCGUAACUUCGGGAGAAGGGGUGCUCCAGAGAUGGAGCCGCAGAGAAUCGGCCCAAGCAACUGUUUACCAAAAACACAGGUUUGUGCUAAACCGAAAGAUGACGUAUACGAGCUGACGCCUGCCCGGUGCUGGAAGGUUAAGAGGAGAUGUGCAAGCAUUGAAUCGAAGCCCCAGUGAACGGCGGCCGUAACGAUAACGGUCCUAAGGUAGCGAAAUUCCUUGUCAGGUAAGUUCUGACCCGCAUGAAAGGCGUAAUGAUUUGGGCACUGUCUCGACAGCCCGCCCGGCGAAAUUGUAGUACCGGUGAAGAUGCCGGUUACCCGCGACAAGACGGAAAGACCCCAUGGAGCUUUACUGUAGCCUAAUAUUGGGUUUCGAUGUUGCAUGCACAGGAUAGAUGGGACACAGGGAAACAAGUGCUUUGGCAUUUGUGGAGUGGCCGUUGGGAUACCAUCCUUGCGAUAUUGGAAUUCUAACCUGCGCCUUUGAAUCAAGGCGGGGGACAUUGUUAGGUGGGCAGUUUGACUGGGGCGGUCGCCUCCUAAAGAGUAACGGAGGCGUUCAAAGGUUCGCUCAGCUUGAACGGAAAUCAAGCAAAAGAGUGCAAACGCAGAAGCGAGCCUAACUGCGAGACUGACGGGUCGAGCAGUAACGAAAGUUGGAGUUAGUGAUCCGGUGGUAUGUGAGUGGAAAUGCCAUCGCUCAACGGAUAAAAGUUACCCUGGGAUAACAGGCUGAUCUCCCCCAAGAGUCCACAUCGACGGGGAGGUUUGGCACCUCGAUGUCGGCCCAUCGCAUCCUGGGGCUGUAUACGGUCCCAAGGGUUUGGCUGUUCGCCAAUUAAAGCGGUACGCGAGCUGGGUUCAGAACGUCGUGAGACAGUUCGGUCCCUAUCUGUCGUGGGCGCAGGAUAUUUGAUGGGAGCUGUUCCUAGUACGAGAGGACCGGAGCGGACGUACCUCUGGCGCACCAGUUGUUCUGCCAAGGGCAUAGCUGGGCAACUAUGUACGGAUCGGAUAAACGCUGAAAGCAUCUAAGCGUGAAGCCGACCCAAAGAUAAGAUAUCCCAUUGUUUCAAACAAGUAAGACCCCUUGAAGACUACAAGGUUGAUAGGCAUGAUGUGUAAGUGGAGUGAUCCAUUCAGCAAGCAUGUACUAAUAGGUCGAGGGCUUGAGC
rnacentral:rRNA from 1 species